CUGAGAUGUACCAUGUUGAAGACGGGAGACAUCAGAUAGUUUCCUGUGUAAAAGGUCAAACAAAAUACCUCUUGGUUCACAUUCAGCCCACCAGUUUGGAAGUCUGGUGGAGCAAGAGAAAGGGAGUCAAGAAGAACAUCCUGAAAGACAGUCAAGGGAACAGGGGCAGCCAGAACAGAGCUGAGGAGGAGGAACCAGCAGAGUAGUGUGGUGAACAGCAAGAGAGAAUUUCAAGGAGUGAGUGGUCUACAGUGUUAAAUGCAGCAGAAAUUUCCAGGAGGACAUAAGAACAGGAAGGUGAUCACUGGCACCGCUUCUAGAAGCAGUUUCAGUGCAGUGGUGGAGAUUAAACCCAGACAGUUGUGGGCGUUCUUUGUGGAGCUUACUAAAGGUGUUUCCUUAAUUCA